UAUGGAUUUACAAAUUAACAAGUAAUUCUCCUGCAACUCUCAGGCUUUUCUGAUUACAUAUGAGCUACUACAUAGAGAUAUAACUAUACUUCAAUCCUGUGCAUCUGUCUGUAUUAUCCCUGUCAGAUCUUGAACUAACAUAUAUUGAUUGUGCUAUUGCUCACUAAAACCUGAAUACAGUCUAAAUAUUCGCGCCCAUUAUAUAUUUUUUUCAGCACAUAAAGACACCUACUCAUCUCAUCCAACGAACUGUCUCACCAGAACUCCAGCAUGGCUCUCUCUAAGACUCAGCAGACAUUUAUGGAUGUAGCUAUUCCAUCUCUCAAAAGAGGAGUAAUUUCAUUCAAUGAACUUGCAUGCAAACUCCUCGUUACCAAUGUCUCAUACAUUCUUAAAACUCAAGUCAUGUUUGAAGAACUCCGUAAUAUAAUAGAGGCAUCUCAGAAAAGCAUGGGGCAGUCAGAGAGGGCAGCUAGCAGUGAACUGUACAAGAUAGACACACAUUAUGAGGAACUCACAGUCCAAAAGGGAGUCCUUGAAAAAAAGAAAAGAGAGAGAAAAACACAGAGAGAUAGCUUGACCGUACAAUUGAGCCAGUGCAGGGAAACGUUAAAUGCGUACUCCAAUUCUUUGGAACGGGCCAAGAGGCUAGCUCGUGACGCUCAACACCGGCUUCAGAGCGAAGAACACAAAAUGAGGGAGUCACAGACACUAAGAGAUGCUGGUUAUGGACUAUUGGCCCUCCCUAUAAUUGGGUGGAUAGCAGGUAAGAUGUCUUCCGUCAUGAGCCCUGUAUGUUUUAUACACAAAAUGAUGCAAAUAAUGUUUGAAGAUGUUUCAGUUCAGUUUCAUCUGAACAGUCAAUUAAAUGGGUUUGUUGUAUGAUUGUUAAAUCUCUUUUUUUUUAAUGAAAAUUAAUUCUGACCUUUUCUAGGGCCGAUCAUGAUUGAUGUUGGUACUACAGACUAUGACAACGCAUCCUACGCGGCAAGACAAGCCACUGCAGUGGUGCAAAGCGCUGAGAGAGACGUAACCAAGUUUUCCUCAAAGGUGUCCAAGUUUACUUCCGACAUUGAGAACAUGAAUAGAAAAAUCAAAAACUUGUAUUGGGAGAUAGAGGGGGUUGACCGCGAGAUCUCAGACAUCAAACAGCAGCGCACUGUGAUGGCUGAUAUUCAGGUUAAGAUGAGG
rnacentral:lncRNA from 1 species